GUGCCAGCAGCCGCGGUAAUACGGAGGGGGCUAGCGUUGUUCGGAAUUACUGGGCGUAAAGCGCACGUAGGCGGCUUUGUAAGUUAGAGGUGAAAGCCCAGAGCUCAACUCGGGAACUGCCUUUAAGACUGCAUCGCUUGAAUCAUGGAGAGGUUAGUGGAAUUCCGAGUGUAGAGGUGAAAUUCGUAGAUAUUCGGAAGAACACCAGUGGCGAAGGCGACUAACUGGACAUGUAUUGACGCUGAGGUGCGAAAGCGUGGGGAGCAAACAGGAUUAGAAACCCCCGUAGUCC
rnacentral:rRNA from 1 species